rnacentral:rRNA from 1 species
CAGUCGCCGCGGUAAAACGUAGGGUGCAAGCGUUGUCCGGAAUUAUUGGGCGUAAAGAGCUCGUAGGCGGUCUGUCACGUCGGCUGUGAAAACCUGGGGCUCAACCCCGGGCCUGCAGCCGAUACGGGCAGACUAGAAUUCGGUAGGGGAGACUGGAAUUCCUGGUGUAGCGGUGAAAUGCGCAGAUAUCAGGAGGAACACCGGUGGCGAAGGCGGGUCUCUGGGCCGAUAUUGACGCUGAGGAGCGAAAGCGUGGGGAGCGAACAGGAUUAGAUACCCGUGUAGUCCCUGUCUCUUAUAC